CGUGAUAUAGGGAUUCAAAGUCAUAUUUUUACAUGCUUGCAUGAGAAAAAAUAUGACCUUGAAGACCGAACAUACAUGAGUAAGUAGCACGAUAGUGCGGAUUACGAAUGUAUGCAGGAUUGCGAGAAUGAAAUGGAGCAAUCCGAUAUCACG
rnacentral:sRNA from 1 species